UCUACGGGUGGCAGCAGUGAGGAAUAUUGGUCAAUGGACGGAAGUCUGAACCAGCCAUGCCGCGUGCAGGAAGACGGCUCUAUGAUUUUUAACCUGCUUUUGUACAAGGGUAAACCUGAAUACGUGUAUUCAUCUGAAAGUACUGUACGAUUAAGGAUCGGCUAAUUCCGUGCCAUCAGCCGCGGUAAUACGGGGUAUCCAAGCGUUAUCCGGAUUUAUUGGGUUUAAAGGGUGCGUAGGCGGGGAUUUAAGUUUCCGGGCAAAAAUCGUGGGUAAACUCCGAACGGCCGUUGAAACUGGGAGCCUUGAGUGGGCGAGAGGAAGGCGGAAUGCGUGGUGUAGCGGUGAAAUGCGUAGAUAUCACGCAGAACCCCGAUUGCGAAGGCAGCCUUCCGGCGCACUACUGACGCUGAGGCACGAAAGUGCGGGGAUCGAACAGGAUUAGAUACCCUUGUAGUC
rnacentral:rRNA from 1 species